rnacentral:rRNA from 1 species
GACAAAGGGUGCAAACGUUGUUCGGAUUUACUGGGCGUAAAGCGCGUGUAGGCGGCUUGGCAAGUCGGAUGUGAAAGCCCACGGCUCAACCGUGGAAGCGCAUCCGAAACUGCUUCGCUCGAGUCUCGGAGAGGAAGGUGGAAUGCUUGGUGUAGAGGUGAAAUUCGUAGAUAUCAAGCAGAACACCUGCGGCGAAGGCGGCCUUCUGGACGAUGACUGACGCUGAGACGCGAAAGCGUGGGGAGCAAACAGG